GCCGCGGUCGCAUAGUCUGGUAUUGCGCUGGAUUGCUAAUUCAGUCCCUUAUGGGAUCGCCGGUUCAAAUCCGGCCCGCGGCG
rnacentral:tRNA from 1 species